rnacentral:rRNA from 1 species
AGCGAACGCUGGCGGCAUGCCUAACACAUGCAAGUCGCACGGGGGGGCUUCGGCCUCCCAGUGGCGGACGGGUGAGGAACGCGUAGGGACCUGUCGAGGGGUGGGGGAUAACCGCGGGAAACUGCGGCUAAUACCGCAUGACGCCGCGGCGUGACAGCCGGGGCCAAAGGCGAAAGCCGCCCGCCGAGGGGCCUGCGUCCGAUUAGCUGGUUGGCGGGGUAGCGGCCCACCAAGGCGUCGAUCGGUAGCUGGUCUGAGAGGGUGAUCAGCCACACCGGGACUGAGACACGGCGCGGACUCCUACGGGAGGCAGCAGUGGGGAAUAUUGGACAAUGGGCGCAAGCCUGAUCCAGCAAUGCCGCGUGGGUGAAGAAGGUCUUCGGAUUGUAAAGCCCUUUCGGCGGGGACGAUGGUGACGGUACCCGCAGAAGAAGCCCCGGCUAACUUCGUG